ACAUUUAUGUGAGGCUCUUUUUGCAUGUAGGAAGCUCUUGACAUUCAUACUGUUGAUAGAGUUGGAGGAGAAGAAUCACAAAAUGUACAGACUCCCUCGCUAGCUACAAGUGAUCCAGGUUGUCGAGCAAGAAUACACUUGCUGGAAAAAGAACUCUUAGAAGAUCUGAAGUCCUUAAGGCAUAAGCAAGUGAUACAUCCUUCUCUCCAAGAAGUGGGAUUGAAGUUGAAUUCUGUGGACCCAACAAUGAGCAUUGACCUGAAAUAUUUGGGUGUGCAGCUCCCGCUCUCCUACUCAAACAACUACUCUUUGUGGAACUACCCAAGAGUUAAUCCUGGUUGUUUGGGUAGGUAAACAAUGCUUUCAAAAUACAUUUGUUCUU